AUUGAACGCUGGCGGCAGGCCUAACACAUGCAAGUCGAGCGGCUGAAGGGACCUCGCUCCUGGAUUCAGCGGCGGACGGGUGAGUAAUGCCUAGGAAUCUGCCCGGUAGUGGGGGAUAACGUCCGGAAACGGGCGCUAAUACCGCAUACGUCCUGAGGGAGAAAGUGGGGGAUCUUCGGACCUCUCGCUAUCAGAUGAGCCUAGGUCGGAUUAGCUAGUUGGUGGGGUAAAGGCCUACCAAGGCGACGAUCCGUAACUGGUCUGAGAGGAUGAUCAGUCACACUGGAACUGAGACACGGUCCAGACUCCUACGGGAGGCAGCAGUGGGGAAUAUUGGACAAUGGGGGAAAGCCUGAUCCAGCCAUGCCGCGUGUGGGAAGAAGGUCUUCGGAUUGUAAAGCGCUUUAAGUUGGGAAGAAGGGCAGUAAGUUAAUACCUUGCUGUGUUGACGUUACCAACAGAAUAAGCACCGGCUAACUUCGUG
rnacentral:rRNA from 1 species